CCAAGCUCAGUAGGUCUCCAGACCAGUGUGAGGUAAGUCUCCAGACCAGUGUGAGGUAAGUCUCCAGACCAGUGUGAGGUAAGUCUUCAGACCAGUGUGAGGUAAGUCUCCAGACCAGUGUGAGGUAAGUCUCCAGACCAGUGUGAGGUAAGUCUCCAGACAAGUGUGAGGUAAGUCUCCAGACUAGUGUGAGGUAAGUCUCCAGACCAGUGUGAGGUAAGUGUCCAGACCAGUGUGAGGUAAGUCUCCAGACCAGUGUGAGGUAAGUCUCCAGACAAGUGUGAGGUAAGUCUCCAGACUAGUGUGAGGUAAGUCUCCAGACCAGUGUGAGGUAAGUCUCCAGACCAGUGUGAGGUAAGUCUCCAGACCAGUGUGAGGUAAGUCUCCAGACCAGUGUGAGGUAAGUCUCCAGACCAGUGUGAGGUAAGUCUCCAGACCAGUGGGAGGUAGAUCUCAGGACCAGUGUGAGGUAAGUAUCCAGACCAGUGUGAGGUAAGUCUCCAGACAAGUGUGAGGUAAGUCUCCAGACUAGUGUGAGGUAAGUCUCCAGACCAGUGUGAGGUAAGUCUCCAGACCAGUGUGAGGUAAGUCUCCAGACAAGUGUGAGGUAAGUCUCCAGACUAGUGUGAGGUAAGUCUCCAGACCAGUGUGAGGUAAGUCUCCAGACCAGUGUGAGGUAAGUCUCCAGACCAGUGUGAGGUAAGUCUCCAGACCAGUGUGAGGUAAGUCUCCAGACCAGUGGGAGGUAGAUCUCAGGACCAGUGUGAGGUAAGUCUCCAGACCAGUGUGAGGUAAGUCUCCAGACUAGUGUGAGGUAAGUCUCCAGACUAGUGUGAGGUAAGUCUCCAGACCAGUGUGAGGUAAGUCUCCAGACCAGUGUGAGGUAAGUCUCCAGACCAGUGUGGGGUAAGUUUCCAGACCAGUGUGAGGUAAGUGUCCAGACCAGUGUGAGGUAAGUCUCCAGACUAGUGUGAGGUAAGUCUCCAGACCAGUGUGAGGUAAGUCUCCAGACCAGUGUGAGGUAAGUCUCCAGACCAGUGUGAGGUAAGUCUCCAGACCAGUGUGAGGUAAGUCUCCAGACCAGUGUGAGGUAAGUGUCCAGACCAGUGUGAGGUAAGUCUCCAGACCAGUGUGAGGUAAGUGUCCAGACCAGUGUGAGGUAAGUAUCCAGACCAGUGUGAGGUAAGUAUCCAGACCAGUGUGAGGUAAGUCUCCAGACCAGUGUGAGGUAAGUAUCCAGACCAGUGUGAGGUAAGUGUCCAGACCAGUGUGAGGUAAGUGUCCAGACCAGUGUGAGGUAAGUAUCCAGACCAGUAUGAGGUAAGUCUCCAGACCAGUGUGAGGUAAGUCUCCAGACCAGUGUGAGGUAAGUAUCCAGACCAGUGUGAGGUAAGUCUCCAGACCAGUGUGAGGUAAGUCUCCAGACCAGUGUGAGGUAAGUGUCCAGACCAGUGUGAGGUAAGUCUCCAGACCAGUGUGAGGUAAGUCUCCAGACCAGUGUGAGGUAAGUCUCCAGACCAGUGUGAGGUAAGUGUCCAGACCAGUGUGAGGUAAGUCUCCAGACCAGUGUGAGGUAAGUAUCCAGACCAGUGUGAGGUAAGUGUCCAGACCAGUGUGAGGUAAGUCUCCAGACCAGUGUGAGGUAAGUCUCCAGACCAGUGUGAGGUAAGUGUCCAGACCAGUGUGA